UACGUAGGGUGCGAGCGUUGUCCGGAAUUAUUGGGCGUAAAGGGCUCGUAGGCGGUUUGUCGCGUCGGGAGUGAAAACCAGGUGCUUAACACCUGGCUUGCUUUCGAUACGGGCAGACUAGAGGUAUUCAGGGGAGAACGGAAUUCCUGGUGUAGCGGUGAAAUGCGUAGAGAUCAGGAAGAACACCGGUGGCGAAAGCGCUCUGCUAGGCCGCAACUGACACUCAUGGACGAAAGCGUGGGGAGCAAACAGG
rnacentral:rRNA from 1 species